CCCAUAGCCUGGAGAAGUGCCUGACAUGAGUGUUCAACAGGUGUUUGUUGAAGGAAUGAAUGCAGUGUCUUAGGCCUAAAAACAUAACAUUCAUUGCCAAAAAUAAGACUUUGUGUUAUUCUAAGAUCAUUACCCUUGCAACAUUCCCGACUGGAUUGAAAAAAAAAAUCUCAGUUCUAUUUCUUUUUACAGGUUUCACUCUGUUGCCCAGGCUGGAGAGCAGUGGCACGAUCUCAGCUCACUGCAACCUCUGCCUCCUGAAUUCAAGUGAUUAUCCUGCCACAGCUUCUGGAGUAGCUGGGAUUACAGCAGGAUUUAAGGGAUGGAUAAAUCAGAGUGGAUGGAUGGAUGACGAAUGAAUACUAUAAACUACCAGGGUCUCACGCUGUUGCCCAGGCUGGAAUGCAAUGAUGGAAUCUUGGCUCACUGCAACCUUCACCUCCCAGGUUCAAGCGAUCCUCUUGCCUCACCUUUCUGAUUAGCUGAGACUAUAGGCGUGAACCUCCAUGGCUGACUAAUUUUUUGUGUUUCUAGUAGAGGGUUUUGCCAUGGUGGCUAGAGACUGGUCUCAAACUCCUGGCCUCAAGAAAUCUGCCAGCCUCAGCCUCUCAAACUGCUAGGAUUACAGGUGUGGGCCACCACACCCAGACAAGGGUAACAUGUUUUUUCAGCUGAAUUGCUCUAUCAGCCAGUUUUCUUCCUGUAGAAACCCAGAAGUCCAACAGCUUUCUUUCACUUCACCCCUUCUCUGUCCCCUUUACUCUAAGGUAUAGCUUUUAGUCCUGUCUUUCACUUCACCCCAUCUCUGUCCCCUUUACUCAAAGCUAUAUCUUUUAGUCACAUAACAUUCUGAAAACCCUUAACAGUAUUCUGUGGACAUUAUGGGGAUCUAUGCCAUUAGACAAAAAUUUCUUCACACAUUCCUCCUGGAUAUCCCGUCUCUAUUCCUGGCUUUUGCUGACAUGGCUGAUUGAAUGCAUAAGUCAUAUGCCUAAUCUCUUCAGCAAAGAAGUGUCCAACUAUACCCAUGGGGUUCUCUUCUAGAGCUUGCUUUCUCAUAUUUUUGCAAAGUGAUGAGGCUGACAAUUUUCCAGAUCAUUUGGUUCUGGUUUAUGUUUUGCUUAACAGUUUCUUUCUCUAUUUCUUUCCUUUCACAUUUUAUUAUAGGCAGCAAGGAGCAACAAGGCCACACUCUGCUUGGGAACCUCAGUUAAAUAUCCAGGUUUAUUGCUCAUAGGUUCUGCUCUCUACUCAACAACAGACUACAUUUCAGUCAAAUUUAUUCUACUUUCUAACGAGGAUCACCUUUCCUCCAGUUCCUCAUUUCCAUCUGAAACCUCAACAAAGCAUCGUUAAUAUUCAUACUUCUAGCAAUAUUCUGUUCAUGACAAUAUGUGUUCUCUAAAACAAUACAAAUUUCUCUAAAGUCCUCCCUCUCUACUUCUUCUGAGAUCUCAGCAGAAUUGCCAUCAGUUUCCCUAUUUCUGUUACUGGAAAGGGGUCCUGAUCCAGACCCCAAGAGAGGGUUAUUGGAUUUCAUAAAAGACAGAAUUUGAGGCACAUCCACAGAGUAAAGUGAAAGCAAGUUUAGUAAGAAAGUAUAGGAAAAAGAAUGGCUACUCCAUUGGCAGAGCAGCCCCAAGAACUGUUGGUUGGCUAUUUUUAUGGUUAUUUCUUGAUUAUAUGCUAUACAAUGUGUGGAUUACUCAUGACUUUUCUAGGAAAGGAGUGGGGAAUUCCUGGAACUGGGGGUUCCUUCCAUUUUUAGGCCAAAUAGAGUAACUUCCUGAUGUGGUCAUGGCAUCUGUAAACCAUCAUGGCACUGGUGGGAGUGUCUUUUAGCAUGUUAAUGUAUUAUAAUUAGUGUAUAAUGAGCAGUGAGGACAACCAGAGAUCGCUUUUGUCACCAUCUUGGUUUUGGUGGGUUUUGUCUGGUUUCUUUAGUGCAGGCUGUUUCAUCAGCAAGGUCUUUGUGACCUGUACCUUGUGCUAACUCCUAUCUCAUUCUAUGACUUAGAAUGUCUAACCUCCUGGGAAUGCAGCCAAGUAGGUCUCAGUCUCAAUUUAUCCAGCCCCUAUUAAAGAUGGAGUUGCUCUAGUUCAAACACCUCUGACAUUUCUACAAGAGUAUCUUCAAAGCAAUCUAAGAUUUUUCUAUCAUGCACCUAAAAACUCUUCCAGCCUCUAUCCAUUAUUUAGUUCCAAGGCCACUUCCAUAUUUUUAUGUUUUUCUUUAUCACAAUAGCACCCUACUUCUUGGUACUAAAAUCUCUAUCAGCGAGGGUUCUCAAGAGAAACAAAACCAAUAGAACAUAUACAGACACACACACAUAUGUACAAAUAUGUGUGUUCUUAUAUGAGUGUGCAUAUUAAUGUAUACAUGUAUAUGAUUUAUUUUAAGGAAUUGAUUCAUAUGAUUGGAGCCUGGUAUAUCUGAAAUUUUUAAGGUAAGCCAGCAGACUGGAAACUCAGUCAGGAUUUCUGUGGUGCAGUUUUGAGGUCAAAUUUCUUCUUCCCUGGCCAACCUUAGUUUUUGCUCUCAGGACUUUCAAUUGAUUCAGUGAGGCCCAUACACAUUAUUGAGGGUAAUCUCUUACUUAAUGUAAGCUUAUUUUAGAUGUCAUACAUGUCUACAAAAUGCCUUCAGAGCAGCACGUAGUGUCUGAUUAAAUAACUGGAUAUUAUAGCCUACCCAAUUGACACAUAAAACUGCACAUUACAGGUGCUUGUCCCUAUUUCUUCUCCAUUUCUAGUUUAUUUCACUUAAAUUGCAGAGAGCAGAUCUAUACAUAGCUGUCCAGGUCUAUCUUCACCAAGAAUAGAAUAGAGUGUCUUUUCAUUUUCAAUAUACAUCAUACUUUGUCAGAUUUUGUUUUUCAGUUGCAGUUCUUCAUUGGACUGGUAAUAAUAUUGGCUUUAUCAAUCUCUCAUUCUCUAACUUACUCAUUCCACAAACAUUUGUAGAAGGCCACCGAGCUCUAGGGAAAAGAAAAUGGUUUUAUAAAUUAGUGCUUUCUGGGAUAAUGUUUAUAAUCUACAUGACUUAACAGUAGCCACUAGCCACAUGUGUUUAUCGAAUACUAGGAGUAUACUUAGUCUGAUUGAGGAAGCAAAUUUUUAUUUUUGUUUAAUUAUAAUUAAUUUAGGUUUACAUUUAAAUAUCUAAAUGAGACUACUGUAUUGGGAAAUUAUAUUUCCCAUAUGCAAUUGUGGUGCAAAAGUAAUUGUGGUUUUUAUCAUUAAAAGUAAUGGCAAAAACCACAAUUAUGUUUGCAUCAACCUAAUAAAUUAUUGAGUUUCUUUUACUAAGAUAUGGGG
rnacentral:lncRNA from 13 species